rnacentral:pre_miRNA from 1 species
GGUCAUCUUUUUCCACAGCUUUCUUGAACUUCUUUUGUAUCUUAAAUCUCUUCAAAGAUUAAAAGCCCUAGAAGCUCAAGAAAGCUGUGGGAGAAUAUGGCAA